rnacentral:rRNA from 1 species
GGGCCCGCACAAGCGGAGGAACAUGUGGUUUAAUUCGAUGAUACGCGAGGAACCUUACCCGGGCUUAAAUGUAGGCUGCAUGAGGUGGAAACACCCUUCCCUUCGGGGCUGCCUACAAGGUGCUGCAUGGUUGUCGUCAGCUCGUGCCGUGAGGUGUCGGGUUAAGUCCCAUAACGAGCGCAACCCCUAUCGUUAGUUGCCAUCGGGUGAAGCCGGGAACUCUAGCGAGACUGCCACCGUAAGGUGAGAGGAAGGUGGGGAUGACGUCAAAUCAGCACGGCCCUUAUGUCCGGGGCUACACACGUGUUACAAUGGACGGUACAGAGGGCCGCUACCCCGCGAGGGGAUGCCAAUCUCGAAAGCCGUUCUCAGUUCGGAUCGCAGUCUGAAACCCGACUGCGUGAAGUUGGAUUCGCUAGUAAUCGCGCAUCAGCCAUGGCGCGGUGAAUACGUUCCCGGGCCUU